UUUGGUGGCGAUAGCGAAGAGGUCACACCCGUUCCCAUGCCGAACACGGAAGUUAAGCUCUUCAGCGCCGUGUGAGAGUAGGACGCCGCCAAGC
rnacentral:rRNA from 1 species